rnacentral:misc_RNA from 1 species
AAGUCGUAACAAGGUUUCCGUAGGUGAACCUGCGGAAGGAUCAUUAUCGAGUUAGGGUCUUCUAGGCCCGAUCUCCAACCCUGUGUCUAUUAUACCACGUUGCUUCGGCGGGCCCGUCUCACGACCGUCGGAGGGUGAUUAUCACCCUCUGGCCCGCGCCCGUCGAUGGCCCAAUCUAAAACUCUGUAUAACUGUGUUUGUCUGAGUAAACCAAAAAAUAAAUAAAAACUUUCAACAACGGAUCUCUUGGUUCUG